AUACAAUAAAUUUAAUUUGAUGUUAUUGGUAUUGAAGUUAAUGUAUACAAUGUUGAAUUUAUUAUUCUUAUUUUUAGGUGAAAUUUAAAUUUAAAUUAAAUUUGCUUAGAUUCUUCUAUAAUCAGGUUUUAGACUGGGAUUAGAUACCCCAUUAUUUUGAUAGUUAAUAAUGUCCUGGGUAGUAAUAGUUAUAUUCUUUAAACCCAAAGGAUUUGGCGGUGUUUUAGUCUAUUUAGAGGAAUUUGCUCUGUAAUCGAUAGUCCUCGUUUUAUCUUACUUUUAUUAGUUAAUCAGUAUGUAUAUCGCCGUUAUAAGUUUAUUUUUUCAGGAUAAUUUACUUAAUAAUUUUUAUUUAUAUUUCA
rnacentral:rRNA from 1 species